rnacentral:rRNA from 1 species
AUGUUGGCUCUUUGGAAGCAACGCAAUGCUAGGGUAUUCAACAGAGUCGACCAACAAAAGAAUGCUAGGGAGCUUGCCACUAUGAUUCUUGGUGAGGCACACGAAAUGUCAAAACAUCAUCUUGAUGAUGUGCCCAUAGAGAAUAGUUGGCUCGGGGCGACAAAGAGCACCUAUUUGAGGCUUUUUAUGAUGGCCGUGGGCCAUGUGCCAUCCAGCCCAAUUCGAGAAGAAGAAGGCGCGGCUGGACAUCAUCGUCUCCACACACCUCCACCUCACCUUCUCCGACUCAGCCGCGCUACCAUGACUUUCCCCAUGGCCACCUCCACCGCCUCCACGGCCGCCGCCGCUUCCAUCCGCCUUCUCCCGGUGCCAGCCACCCCAUCCUCCCGCACUCUCCGCUUCCCGCCCAUCCUCCGCCGCGCGCCCCGCGCCCUCUUGUCCGUCUCCGCUCUCAGCAAGCUCUCCGAGGCGUCCCCCGUCCCCAUCCCGCAGGAGCCCACCCAGACUUUGCCCGGCGAGGACGCGCUUCCCCCUAGGCCCGGGGUCUACGGCGUCUUCGACCCCGCCGGGGACCUGCAGUUUCUCGGGAUCUCGCGCAACGUCAGGGCCAGCAUCGAGGGGCACCGCAGAAAGGUGCCCGCUGACCUCUGCGCCUCCGUCAAGGUUGCAAUACCAGACGAGGAAACGCCAGAUAAAAGUGUCCUAACUAAUGCCUGGAAAUCAUGGAUGGAAGAAUACAUAGCAGCCACCGGCAAGGCGCCACCAGGGAACGUUGCCGGGAACCACACCUGGAUCGGUCCUCCACAGAGACCUGCAGACCUGCGUUUGACUCCUGGUCGCCAUGUGCAGCUAACUGUGCCGCUUGAACAGUUGAUUGAUCGGUUAGUGAAGGAGAAUAAAGUGGUUGCCUUCAUCAAAGGAUCAAGAAGCGCUCCCCAGUGUGGGUUCUCACAAAGAGUGGUGGGGAUCCUGGAGGCACAUGGAGUGGACUUUGCAUCCGUAGAUAUUCUUGACGAGGAGCACAACCAUGGGUUGAGAGAGACCCUCAAGACCUACAGCAACUGGCCAACCUUCCCACAAGUUUUUGUUGGAGGAGAACUUGUGGGCGGAUGUGAUAUUAUUUCAUCCAUGGCUGAAAAGGGGGAGCUUGCUGCCCUAUUUCAGAAAUAG